rnacentral:tRNA from 1 species
AAGGCACUGGUUUCUGAUACCAGCAUUCCGGGGUUCGAAUCCCUGCACCCCAGCCAAAUUGCACAACAGGCCCGC